rnacentral:rRNA from 1 species
GUCUCGAGUGGCGGACGGGUUAGUAAUGCUUGGGAAUCUAGCUUAUGGAGGGGGAUAACUACGGGAAACUGUAGCUAAUACCGCGUACCAUAGGAUGAGCCCAAGUUGGAUUAGGUAGUGGGUGAGGUAAAGGCUCACCACGCCGACGAUCUCUAGCUGGUCUGAGAGGAUGACCAGCCACACUGGUACUGAGACACGGCCCAGACUCCUACGGGAGGCAGCAUUGGGUAAUAUUGCGUAAUGGGGGAAACCUGACGCAGCCAUUCCGCGUGAAGGAAGAAGUCCUUCGUGGUGUAAAGUUCUUUCGGUAGCGAGGCGUUAACUACAGAAGAAGCACCGGCUAACUCCGUGACAUCCGCCGCGGUAAUAC